rnacentral:rRNA from 1 species
UACGGAAGGGGCAAGCGUUGUUCGGAAUCAUUGGGCGUAAAGGGCGCGUAGGUGGUUUUGUGUGUCUACCGUGAAAGCAUACAGCUCAACUGUAUUUUGUCGGUAGAAACUGCAGGACUUGAGGCUGGGAGGGGCUGGUGGAAUUCCCUGUGUAGCGGUGAAAUGCGUAGAGAUGGGGAGAACACUCGUGGCGAAGGCGGCCAGCUAGACCAGUUCUGACACUGAGGCGCGACAGCGUGGGGAGCAAACAGG